UACGUAGGGUGCAAGCGUUGUCCGGAAUUAUUGGGCGUAAAGAGCUCGUAGGCGGUUUGUUGCGUCGGCUGUGAAAUCCCGAGGCUCAACCUCGGGUCUGCAGUCGAUACGAGCAAACUAGAGUGUUGCAGGGGAGACUGGAAUUCCUGGUGUAGCGGUGAAAUGCGCAGAUAUUAGGAGGAACACCGGUGGCGAAGGCGCCACUCUGGGCCGAAAUUGACGCUGAGGAGCGAAAGCGUGGGUAGCAAACAGG
rnacentral:rRNA from 1 species